GAUGAACGCUGGCGGCGUGCCUAAUACAUGCAAGUCGAACGCAUUGUGGUUGAAAUGAUAUGAAGAACUUGUUCAGAUUUGAUUUUCAACAUUGCAAUGAGUGGCGAACGGGUGAGUAACACGUGGGAAACCUACCUCUUAGCAGGGGAUAACAUUUGGAAACAAAUGCUAAUACCGUAUAAUAAUUAAAACCGCAUGGUUUUAGUUUAAAAGAUGGUCUUGCUAUCACUAAGAGAUGGUCCCGCGGUGUAUUAGUUAGUUGGUGAGGUAAUGGCUCACCAAGACAAUGAUACAUAGCCGAGUUGAGAGACUGACCGGCCACAAUGGGACUGAGACACGGCCCAUACUCCUACGGGAGGCAGCAGUAGGAAGUCUUCCACCAAUGGACGAAAGUCUGAUGGAGCAACGCCGCGUGUGUGAUGAAGGUUUCGGCUCGUAAAACACUGUUGUAAGAGAGAAUGACAUUGAGAGUAACUGUUC
rnacentral:rRNA from 1 species